AUACGUAGGGAGCGAGCGUUGUCCGGAAUUACUGGGUGUAAAGGGAGCGUAGGCGGGAGUGCAAGUCAGAUGUGAAAUACAUGGGCUCAACCCAUGGGCUGCAUUUGAAACUGCAUUUCUUGAGUGAAGUAGAGGUAAGCGGAAUUCCUGGUGUAGCGGUGAAAUGCGUAGAUAUCAGGAGGAACACCGGUGGCGAAGGCGCUUUACGGGGCUUUUCCGGACGCGAAGGUUGGAAGGCGGGGGAAGCAACCAGGUUUAGUUCCCCUGGUGGUCCCCGCUGUAACGGAUAAUUCUAGGGGGUGGGGGACUGACCCCUUCCGUGCCGCAGUUAACACAAUAAGUAAUCCACCUGGGGAGUACGGCCGCAAGGUUGAAACUCAAAUGAAUUGACGGGG
rnacentral:rRNA from 1 species